CUUCAGUCAAGCCGACAUGUCGUCAGUCUCCGUCUCAUGUAUUGCAUGGCGAUGCAACUGAUUUGUUAAGUUCAUUGGAAGGUAUAAUUGGGAUGGUCUACUAGAUGGACAUGAAUUGGACAUUGGAAGGUUUACACAUUCAUUGGAAGCAACAGCUGAUGAUUCUUAUCACUUUGAAAUUUUGAAAUGGUAGAAGAGGUGAUAACAAAUGGUAGCAGCCCUUCAGAGGGUGAUAACAAAUGUGUCAUGCUCUUCUUAAUCCUAUUCCUGGUGAUAACAAAUGUGUCAUAGAAUUGAAGGUACUUUACUUCCAUUUCUUCAAGUCAUUUUACAUAUAAUUUGCAAGGACCUGUAAGAUCCUUUCCGGCUUCCAUGUCAGUCAAUAGUUGUAUAUUUCCGACUAAUUAGCUUAAAUGGAUUUAGGUUCUAUACAGCACCUGUGAAUCAACAUACUUC